rnacentral:rRNA from 1 species
AUACGGAGGAUCCGAGCGUUAUCCGGAUUUUUUGGGUUUAAAGGGUGCGCAGGCGGCCAUUUAAGUCAGCGGUUAAAUCGUGGGGCUCAACCCCAUUCUGCCGUUGAUACUGGGUGGCUUGAUUGCGGUCGAGGUUGGCGGAAUUCGUUGUGUAGCGGUGAAAUGCAUAGAUAUGACGAAGAACACCGAUUGCGUAGGCAGCUGACCAGACCGCAAAUGACGCUCAUGCACGAAAGUGCGGGGAUCGAACAGGAUUAGAUACCCUGGUAGUCCGCACAGUAAACGAUGAAUACUUGUUUUCGGCGAUAUAAUGUCGGAGGCAAAGCGAAAGCGAUAAGUAUUCCACCUGGGGAGUACGCCGGCAACGGUGAAACUCAAAGGAAUUGACGGGG